ensembl:snoRNA
UGAAUCAAUGUUGAAGACUAGUGGCAUAUGAGUCAGGGAUGAAGAAUGCUUAUCUAGAACUCUGAGGUCCAA